AAGCAAAGCUAUGUAUAUUACUUCCUUCAAAACUAUACAAAAAGUUGUCUCUGAGAACAAGCUCCCGAGAUGUCUCUAUAAAGAAAAUUACAAACUAUAUAUAUGAGGUUAUUCACCCUUUGUUCUUACUUAUUAACUAAGGAAUCCUAUGAUUGGUAGAUUACAAGGAGAGAAUGGGGAUUUAAACAACAAAUUUCUGAAGAAAAAUUCUAAAAGAGUUGGUCGCAAAUAUCUAGAAGCACUCAGGUGGAUUUUGUAGGCAUGCAAGAUGGGCUACGAAAUUUCGCAAGCUGAAGGUCUCCAUUUCGCAGCCAAAGGCUAAUUUCGCAGCUAGCACCUUGUGAUUUCACAGCCAAAGGCUGAUUUUGCAACUGUGAAA
rnacentral:lncRNA from 1 species